rnacentral:lncRNA from 1 species
UCCUUGUAUAUUUUCAUUUAUUAAUUAAUAAACAAAUCAUUAUAUUGUACAACAAAACUUGGAAUUAUUAAGUAGGAAACCAAACAAAAUCUUUAAAAAAUGAACUGUAUAUAGUAGUUCUGUAUCCUCUUCUUUCUCUCAAGUUGUUAGAAAAUGAACUCUCUUUUAUCUUUUCUGGAAGUUCAAUGCCUUAAUGGCAUAUGCAAACAGGACGGCGAAAACAACAGGCCAUGCAACGAUACCUGCUGCAACGACUCCUUGUAUAUUUUCAUUUAUUAAUGAACAAUUAUUUAAUUGUACAACAAAACUAGGGACUAAGGAAGAAACCAAAAAAAUAUAAACAAUUUUCAAAAAGUGAACUGCACAUAGUAGUCUAUUCUUUCUCUCAAGUUGUUAGAAAGUGAACACUCUUUAUCUUUUCUGGAAGUUGAAUGCCUUAAUGGCAAAUGCAAACAGGAAGGCAAAAACAACAGGCCAUGCAACGAUAAUUGCUGCAACGACUCCAAGAAAAUCAUGCUCAAAUCCAAAAUAACGCCCCAAGAAUUGUUCAACAUUUUCAUUAUUGGUGAGAGGAGUUUGGAUGUCUCCGAAUUGUGAUGCAACAAGACCAUACAAGGUCCAUGCAACAGGGCAAAGCCAAUAGUACCAUCUCCACCAUAUUGGAAUACGCUGUUUUUAGCAAAACAGACACAAAGAUAACAUGUCAUUUUUCCGAGAAACAGUGGAUAAAAAGAAAGAUGGAAAUGAAGGAUUUUAAAAAACUUACAGGUCGUGGAACGACGAAUCCUGAGAAGAGAUUCCAUAGAGCAUAGAAGAAGGCCGCGAUUAUAGAAGCAACGUUUUGAUUAGGGGAAACAGCCACAGUCAGCAUGCCAUAGAAGGUGAAGUACAAGAGAGUGAAGUACAUGAUGAAGAGGUACCAAAAGAACUUGGCAACAGUCCAUUCGAAUCCGAUCAUUGCAUACACAAUUAUACCAUAGAAAACUGCUUGUAAAAAUACAUAAGGUAUUUCAAUGACAACCUGUGCAAAGGCAUAAGGUAAAGCAGAAUACAUUCCAGCAGCUCUUUCUCUGUAAAAUACAGUACGCUCAACGGCUACAACAGGCUGGGCUGAUGAUGAAUUUUGUACACCAAGGAAGAGAGUUGCAGCAUACAUAGAUCCCAUAGCAUUAAAAAGAUCCUGGCUCCGACUCCUGUAAUCAAUAAAGCUCGAAAAGUUUAGGGAAAAAACUACCUUAUUUCAAGUUUAUAUUUACUUGUCAAUGUGAUUUUACUUACACUCUGCUACCAAGAUCCCAGAACAAUGUGCCAAAGACUAGUGCUAGAAUGACUGUGAAGAUGAAUCUAACUGCCGUGUAAGAUGGAUUACGCCAGUAUGACAAAUGUUGUUUCCAGAGACAUGCCAUACAUUGAGACCAGAAAGACUGUGAAAAUUGAGUUUCAAAAUGCAGAUCCUUUGUACCAGGGCGAGGCGUACUUAAUUCAGCAAUCAAGGCUUUGUUCCUCUUGUAGAGGUCUGAAUUCUUGUACAAAUCAGUAAAGUCAACUCCUAACAUCAUUUCUUGAGAUGCGGCUGUGACUUCUAACAUCCAAGUUGCUGGAUUGUAAGCCUCUUUUAUCUUACUAACUCCAGGCAAUGACUGAACUCAAGACAAAACUGAGAUUAGUAUUUGAUUAUAUAAACUAGGAAAAAGUAAACACAAAUUUUUCUUUGUUAACAUACCUCAAAGUAUUUGAUCAAGUGACAAGAAUAGCGACCCAGAGGACCAACAUAUAUCUCCUGUCCUCCUCGUUUCAUUAGAAAUAGCUGCAAAGCCGUGUUUCACUUUUAAUACAGGCGGCAAAGAGAAAGUGGAAACAAUAUGCUUGGAAGGUUAAUAAUCUCACCUCAUCAAAGGAUUCAAAAAUGUCGAUGCUAGGCUGAUGAAUGGUACAGACGACAGUUCUACCUGUAUCGACAGUGUUCCUAACAGCUCUCAUUACAAUGGCAGCAGCUCUUGCAUCCAACCCCGAAGUUGGUUCAUCCAUGAAAAUAAUAGAGGGGUUUGCUACCAGUUCAACUGCAAUGGUCAGCCUUUUGCGUUGCUCGGUUGAUAGACCAUUGACUCCAGGCAAUCCGACUAAGGCUGAUCUUAAGGGAGUUAGCUCCACAAGCUCCAUAACUUCCUCAACAAACAUCUGCAGAGAGGAAUAUCAAUAAUCGUUUGAUAGAGUGUAUACGACUGUUUCUUUAAUAUGUUCAACCAAUUUUAUGGAGUAAUGAUUUAGGGGAACCGACCUUUCUCUUGUUUUUGUCAACAUCAUGAGAUAAACGCAGCCAAGCUGAGUAAACCAAUGACUCAUAAACUGUAAUAUAAGGCGAAUGGAUGUCAUUCUGCUCACAAUAUCCAGAAAUACGUGCAAAUGUUGCUUGCUUCUUCGGAUAUCCAGAAAUCUUGAUGUCACCAUCAAUAUAUCCUCCUGUUUUUCUUCCGGCCAACACAUCCAUCAGUGUUGUUUUACCAGCUCCACUAACGCCCAUCAAAGCUGUGAGAACACCUGGUCUGAAAGCUCCACUCACACCUUUUAGAAGUACUAAUCUAUCUUCAGUGGAACCUUGGUCUUUUAUUUCCUGCAAUUCAUUAAAAAAUGUUAAGUUAGUUGUUUAUAGAAAAUAAAAGCGUUACGAGUCACGGUACUAUUCAUGAAAGGUUACCUGAGGCAUGUCAACGGAGUAUACAACGUUGUCAAAAGUGAUGGAAUGCGGUUCAAAUGGAAGAACCAUUCCCCUCUUCUUGCCCUGACCCUCAGUUUCACUUCCCUCAAUGAGUUGAACAUUCUCAUUAUCUUCUGAUAAUAUAGCUUGUGGCUUACCAAAAGCUGAAAAUGUUUAAGAAAUAUGGUAUUAGCCCCGUUUUCCCGGUAGUAUAUGGCAUCGUUCAUUUUAUGUUCUUUUCAAGGGGAAUUUAAAUGCAUCAGAGAUACUCACGGUUCAGGUAAGCUAGUCCAACACUGUAGCAGACGUUGAAGAUUAUAAUGUAUCCAAUAAGUGCCCCAACACCAAUCCAGUACCAAUAUGCAUCUGGAAAGAACCCACGAGAUCUUACUACUGCAUGUCCAAGUGAUUCAGCUCCAUUUGGCGCGAUCUGUUUGAAUUAAGAGUGGGUAUGAGCAUCCAUAUAUGAGAAAAUUAGCUAUUUGCAUGUGAUUUGGAAUAAAAACACUUACACGUUCCCAUUUCUUCCCAUCAAAUUCAUUCACAAGAAUUGAAUUCACAGAAUACAUUAAUGGUGAGAUCCAGUAACCCCAGAUCCACCAUUUCUUCACAUCAUCUGUAGCAUCAUGCAAAAUAGAAAAUCAAUAAAGGUAUGAAAUGAUUGAACAAGCAAAAAGAGUUUUUGCGAAUAUAACAAAACAUACUUCUCGAGAGCACAAAUCCAGACAAUGCAAAUUGCAAAACCAGUGCAAAUGCUCCAAAUGUUGUAGCGACUCCCAUUGUUCUCCCCGCUGCACCAAUGAAUCUGAACAAUCCCGAUGCCAUCUGGUGUACUAGUACGAGAAGCAAGAAUUGUUUGAACAAUCUGCAAAGCCAUAGUUCCUUAAUAAUCAUGAAAUUAUAUGAAGGUCAUCAAAUUAUUACUCUGCACUGUAUUUUUUCUUCCCUUACCUUGAAACAUUCGGAUCAAAUCCCAUGACAUAAUAGGUAAGAAAUGUCCAAAGACCAACUUCAAAAAAUGUUAUUGGGAUUUUGAGAAACCAUGUCGGAAGGGCAUAAGCCCAUGAAGGAUAAAAAAGAAGGUCCCUUUGCUUGAAGUAGACUGGAAGCUUUAAAAUCGUCAGGUUGAUCUCAGCCAUUCCAUUAAACAUAAUCACAACGACUACGAAAAAGAGAGCACCAGCAUACAUCCCUCCAUCAUCCAUAUUAUCUCGGGGCAUCUCAGUACGGAAAAAGACGGACAUCAUUAUAAAUGCCAUUACCAUGAGCUGAGAAAACAGAACAGAAACAAGGAGAAUUAACAAUUGGCAUAUGGUUAUGAAAUGGAAAACACUUUUAUAUUUCUAAUAGACUAAGUAGUAAGUACCUGAAAGAGCUUAAAUAUGUAAACAAAUGAGUUCCUCUUCAUUAGUAGGAAUUCUCGGUCAGCGCAGACCUUCAACAUUUGUUUCGUCCCUAUACCAUACUUCUUAGUAGACAAAGCAGCAGGGUGGCUUUUGGUCUUGUCAUAAGGAGUUGUAAGCUCAUCGGCGAGUUUCUUUCCAACAUGGAAAGACUGAUAAGCCUCGGCAAAUUCUUUUGAUGUGAUAAACCUAUAAGGUUCAUCCUUCUUAGCCCAAUAUUGUUGUUGAUCCUUCUUUGAUGUUACCUGCAAGCCAUAAUUUAAAACUUCACUCUUGUAUGUCGAAGACAUCGUAAGCUACAUAACAGUUUCGUAUAUCUAACAGAUUAAGCAUUUAUGGCGGUCACACACUUCAACAUAGUAUCAUAAUAGACGAAGGUCGUUGGUUAAGUGUUAUCAUUACUCAUAAAAAAGAACAUAAUACUGCGCUCUCUCUAACAGUUUAAACUCUUAUAUUUUAUUGUAAGACAUACCUCUUGCAAGAAAUCUGCCACACCUUUCCUCUCGGGGCAUUUGAAUCCCAUGGAUUCAAAAAAGUCAAGAACAUCUUCUCGAGGGCCCUGAUAUACAAUACGUGCAUCUGACAACAGAAUUAUGUCAUCAAAUAAGUUGUAAGUCUCAGGAGCUGGCUGCAACAGAGAUAUCACAGCAGUUCCCUUCAAGAGCUGCACCGAUUGUCUUAGCGAAUUGACAAUGGAGAAAGUAGUUGAACUGUCCAAUCCAGUUGAGAUUUCAUCCAUGAAAAGCGCCUUUGAUGGUCCAACAAGCAUUUCACCCGUCGUUACACGUUUCUUUUGCCCCCCUGAAAUACCCCUUAGCAUUUCAUCUCCCACCAUAGUAUCGGCACAGAUAUCCAGUCCCAAAAUCUGUAAACGGAAAUCAAAUUACUAACUAUAGGUAACGUCCAUAAGAUAGGUUAUCUGCUACAACAAGUUAAAAAGCACUAUAUACAUUAAAUCCUUAUUAAGCGAAAUAAUUUUGAUAUUGCCAAAUGUUACCUUAAGAACAUAAUCUGUAACAAUAUUGGCUUCCUGUCCUUCUGUUACUGAAGCCUACAUUUCCCAAAAACAAUAAACAUUAUUAACAUCUAUAAUAAAAGAUUUAGUAUUAUUCGCUUUCAUGUCUUUCUGUUGUAUUCUUACCUUCAUAUAGAUAUCAAUAUCACGAUCUGGCUUGAUAUUAGCUGCUUUCUCUCUUCUUGAUAGUUCAGCCAACAUCUCUAUACAAAUUUUGUAAAUGAAUUAAAUCUUGUUUCAGACUAAUACAGUAUAUUCAGUACUAUUCGUAUACACUCUAUUAAACUAACCAUAUCUCGGGCCAACUCCUUGGCAUCUUGCAGAAAAUUCCAAAGUUUCCCUUACAGUCAUUUCUCCAAUAUGCAAGUCAUGUUGACUGAUAUAAACAGCUGUUUUUUGUGGAACAAAUUCAUGUAGUUUAUGUCCAUUAUAGGUCACAUUCCCAGUAACCUGAUUUCCAACAAAAAAGGGGAAAAAGUUUAGUAGGUUCAAUUUCUAUGAAUUGACAGAUUAAGAAAAUUAAAGACUAUGGUGCUCGAAUUCUUCAAAAAUAUAGGCAUGUCGGAUACUCCCAAAAUAGUGUUAUUUUGAAGAAUCCGACACAGGUGCAACAGUAUUUUGGGAGACUAUGAACAACAUAGAUUAAAGGCAUAAUCAUAAACAUGCCAUUUAACUUGGGCUCGACUGACAUCUAUGCACAAGUAGGCAUCUAAACUUGUAUAAAACUGAACAAAUAGACCGAGUGAGUAUGAUAUAUUUGGAAUUGAAAUUUUUACCUUUAGAGUAGGAUCAAGUUUUCCAGCCAAAGCUAAUAACAAAGUAGUCUUUCCAGAACUUGGAGGUCCCAAAAGUAGAGUCAUCCUUGAAGGCUUAAUCAUACCACUUACAUCAUUGAGAAUUGUGAUUUGCCUCUUUCUACUUGGAAGUAUGUGAAUAGUAUUCAAGAAUGUCUUUGGAGCAAAAAAUUAGAAAAAAGAAGAAGUUAGUUUCAAUUUAAAAAGAAACAGACAGUCCACUGCACAAAGCAUCCCACGUUAGCAGGGUUCGAGGAAGUGUCACACCUCACAGGGUGAGAUGUAGAUAGUCUUGCAUUACCCUAAUACAAGGAUUAAUGACUGCUACCACGACUCAAACUCCCUCCUUAGUUUCUUUUAAAAUAUUAAUUAUUAUUUUUUAAUUUCAUAUUUUUACCUCAAGAAAGUUGGUCAUGAAGUUGAUAAAAGUAGGCAAAGCUCUGCUUCCUACAUAUGCAUCUGCCUCAAUAUUCAGAUGUUCAUAUCUCACUUCUAUUGAUGGCAAAUCAAUCCCAACUCUGUAAAAUCAUCCAAAGAGAUUAAAAAAAGAACACAAGUUAAAUACCAAUUAAAUAAAAAAUAGAAAAAGGAAAUUCAACUCAUAGUUAGAAUAAAAAAAGAAGAGAAAAAGUCAAAAUUUCAAUGCACUAAGUUCUCGCCUAUGUCUGAGGAAGGACCAAGUUCAACACAAGGCAACAACUCUUAGUAUGCAUGGAUCAAGAAAGGUCAUUUCUGUUAGAGGUUAUUUUCACAACUUGAACAUUUAACUUAUGAUCACACAACGACAACGACAAAACAAACUAUAUAUACAUGAAAAAUUUAAAAUUAUGUGACUUACGUUUCAAUUCUGUCCUUAAGUUUCAACAAGAACUUCUCAUUAUCUUCAUCAGCAACCUUAACAAGCCUAUCAAGUAAAUUCUUCCUUUCUUGAUGUCCAAUAUCAUUUGUAUCAACUUCAGCAAUAGUUUCACCUUCUUUACCAAACAAUAAACCUUUUCUCAUUCGAUCGAACGUAGGCAAUUUUUCUAAAGCAGCCCAUUUAAGAGCCUCUUCAUCAUCCUCAUCUCUUCCUGAACGCGAAAAUAUCGAGUUACUAGAAUUUCCCCUCAUACUUGCCCUUAAACUACCUCUAAAAUUGUUAAGAUUCAUCCCCUCCAUCAUGAAUAUUCACUCGAUCGAUCAAAAGGCUAAUCAACUCUAACCAGAACUCGUAAACUAUACAAAUGAACUUUUUUUUGUCCCCUAUACUUCAAACUUGAGUAUGGGAGAUACCCAAAUUUUUUUGUGAUUUUUUUUCUAGUAUUAUGAUAUGGUUUAUAAAGAAGAAAAAGAAUAGUUGGUGAGAAAUAAGAGUCAAAGGCAGAGCACCUAUGUAGCAAAAAGUUAAGGAUGUAUUAACGCAAAUGUAGUCUUUUUUUGACUUGACUAGAUUGUGACUAAUAUUGAAGAAAAUCUAGAAUAGUCAAAAGCCAUCAUUCAAUAAAGACGGUCUCUUUUGUACUUACGUAAUGCUAAAAUAUGAGUGGUGGAGAAGGUAUCAGAGAAGCUAAUAAAGUCAAAAAAUACAUUAAAUAAAUCGAUGGUAUGUAAAAAAAUAUUCAUUUAUCAUUUAACAAAUAGUACUAAUUAUUUCUACACAAAACUUGGAAUUCAAUAAGGUAAAAAUACAACAUACAUAGAAAAUUAAAAAAAAAAGUCUUCAAGUUGUGAGUUGUGACAUAUACACAAUUGUUGUGUCUUUUAUCUUCUCUGGAAGUUGAAUGCCUUAAUGCCUAAUGCAAAUGUCAAGGCAAACAUAACAGGCAACGCAGCGAUCACAGCAGCAACAACGCCAAGAAAAUCAUGCUUAAAUCCGAAGUAACGUCUCAAGAAUUGUUCAACAUUUUCAUCAUCGGUGAGAGGAGUUUGGAUGUCUCCGAAUUGUGAUGCAACAAGACCAUACAAGGUCCAUGCAACAGGGCAAGCCCAGUAGUACCAUCUCCACCAUAUUGGAAUACGCUGUUUUUAGUAAAAAAAAAGAACAUAACAUGUCAUUUUUCGUUGUUCAGUAAUGUUUAUAGGCAUAAAAUGAAGGAUUUUCAAGGACUUACAGGUCGUGGAACGAUGAAUCCUGAGAAGAGAUUCCAUACUGCAUAGAAGAAGGCCGCGACAAUGGAUGCAACGUUUUGGUUGGGGGUAACAGCCACGGUCAUCAUGCCAUAGAAGGUGAAGUACAAGAGGGUGCAGUACAUGAAGAAGAAGUACCAUAAGAAUUUGACAGCAGUCCAUUCAAACCCGAUCAUUGCAUACACGAUGAGACCAUAGACAGCCGAUUGUACAAAUACAUAAGGUAUUUCGAUGACAACCUGCAUGAAAGUAAAGCUUCAUAGAUCAGUAUGAAUCCUUUUUUCUAAGCUCAGAAAGUCACUCAACUAUUUUCAUUUCACCUACAACGUUGAGUGACUUUCUGAGAUAAUAAUUGUUAGUUGAGUGACCGUAUUUAUAAAUUAACUCCAGAGUAUGUAUAAAUUGUGACUAAAUUGAACUGUCUGUUUACCUGUCCAAAGGCGUAAGGUAUGGCAGAAUACAUUCCAGCAGCUUUUUCUCUGUAAAAUACAGUACGCUCAACGGCUACAACAGGCUGGACUGAUGAUGAAUUUUGUACACCAAGGAAGAGAGUUGCAGCAUACAUAGAUCCCAUAGCGUUGAUAAGAUCCUGACUCCGACUCCUGUGAUCAAC